rnacentral:lncRNA from 1 species
AGAUUUCUGUCUGCCUCUCAUUGGCAAACAUGACAUUUCAGCAAUUUCUCUAAAGAGGAAUGACUGGGGGGUAUGUACAGCAGGCAUCAUGUAAGAAAAACUCACACCUCACGACAUAUUUGUUUGAUUUAUUCAGCAGACUUCAGCAAAGGAAAGAUGUGAAAGCAACCCUUGAUUGUUGAUUUUUUGUUCAUUCUGAAAAUCACAUCGCCAGAUCCAACACCUUUUUAUCCCAAUCACCAGUACAAGCCACCCGUAUCAGUGUACACUGUGGCUGACCGAUCCAUAGUGAUGCUUUGAGCUCUGGUAGAUGUGAUUAUG